GAUGAAGAACGCAGCGAAAUGCGAUAAUUAAUGUGAAUUGCAGAAUUCCGUGAAUCAUCGAGUUUUUGAACGCAUAUUGCGCCCCUUGGUAUUCCGAGGGGCAUGCCUGUCCGAGCGUCAUUGCAACCCUUCAAGCACGGCUUGUGUGUUGGACGGCCGCCCCAGUGUGGGCGGGUCCCAAAUGCAGUGGCGGCGCCGCGAUCCGGGUGCUCGAGUGCAUGGAAACCACGCGCUCGUUAGGCCCCGUCGGGCGCCGGCCGACCUAAUUAUCUUCGUUCUGGUUGACCUCGGAUCAGGUAGGAAUACCCGCUGAACUUAAGCAUAUCAAUAGCGGAGGA
rnacentral:misc_RNA from 1 species